UUCAGGCAGGGCUCACGGGAGGUGGAUGUCUGGAGGAUGGGAAGCAGCCAGGUGACUGACAACCAUGUAGGCUGGGCGCAGCACUGAGGAGUAGGGACAAAAGGAGCUGACCCUGCAGGGGGAAUUGAUGGCUUUGCUGAGGGAGGACUGCGGAGGUAGGAAAAAUCUGAGGGAUUUCACUUAGAGAGAAAUUAAGGUUAUUUCUCUACCUCUCCACAGCUCAAGGAGACUGAGAGUUAGCAGCUCUCAGCAGGCUUUAUCAAUUCUGCCAGCACAGAGAAGCUGAUAUAGUUAUGCUCAUGUAACAACUCACGUGAUGUUCUUAUUCCUGAAUUAAUACUUCUCUUGGUUUUUUUCUCCAUCUUGUUUAAAUCUUGUGUAAAGCUGAACUGUAUUUAAAACAAAACAAAUGAACAAGGACAAACAAACCACAAAGGAAUUUUUUUUUAUGUACCUUAAGCAGUUUAAUUCAGCCCUUGCAGUGUCAUGGUAUAAUACCAGCAUAUGCUCAGCUCUUAGUGAACUGUUUCCCUUGCUUUAGGGCUAAUAUUGGCUAGAAAUGGAGACCUGCAGGAGAUAAACAGCAGUAAAGCCAAUUGCAGAUGAGCUUAGCUAAAAGCAAGAGAUACAGUCUCAGUGCAUACCAAAAGACAGCGUGCAAGGCUAAUAUAUCAUGCAAAUGGUGGACUAGGAGCAUUUAGGCACGGAUGGGCUGUGGGCUGUGCAGAAGGAGUGAAUCUCUCUGCAUUCAGCUAUGCGCUCGUGUGUGCGCGUCUCACUCCCCCUCCACUGCUCCCCCCGUCUCCAUCUCUCCCAGACAGGCAAACAGACCUGCUUCCUCCUUUGUGCUGCCAGUCAGGUCCUCCCUCUGCAGUCCUACACGGGAAGAAGAUUUAUAAUAGCUGCAUGCCAUGCCAGUGUCUCAAAGAGACAGCAUCACGCCAUGUGGAGGAUUUUUAUAUGGGGUUUAACUUUGCUCCACUGAAUUGGAAAGGCUCUCAGUUGCCUGACUCUUACCUCUCUGACUACUGUCCAGGCUUUUCCCUUAGUUGUACACAGAUUUCUCCAAUGACAUAGAAGCCUUUACUCCAGAUGGAAAAAUCAGUUCCACUGGGAAGAUGUAAGCCAGCAUUUAUGGGGUCUUUUAUGACAUGCGGAGGAACUGAAUUCUUGGAAAAUUACAAGAAGGAAGGUCAUGAUUCCUGCUGAAAUACAGGAGGAAUCCUACCUGUAAGACAGCAGUCACAACUAAAUUUUUAACACAGUAAUAUGCAAGAACACAUUAUUGGUUUACAUUUAUGUGUUUUUCUCUAACAUUGCAGGUACUAUUUUAAAGCUCUGUUUUGUUGUUGUUGUUUGUUUGUUUGUUUGUUUCAUUGUCUUCAGUCACUGUUAUUUACACGUUAGAUGCAAGGUUAUGUAAUUUUUUUAAUGUCUUUUACCCACUCGUUAUAUAGAUAUUUGCCAAGUUUUUCAAAAAUCCUUAAAUAUUAUAUUCUUAUAUUAAAUAUUAUAUUCUUAUAUACACAAUGAAGGUGGUGUUGACUUUAUAUUAGAU
ensembl:lncRNA